rnacentral:rRNA from 1 species
AUUGAACGCUGGCGGCAGGCCUAACACAUGCAAGUCGAGCGAGCGGCGGACGGGUGCGUAAUGUAUGGGGACUGCCCGCUAGAGGGGGAUAACUACUGGCAACGGUAGCUAAUACCGCAUACUAUCGGAUAACCCAUAUGGGAUUAGCUAGUAGGUGAGGUAAUGGCUAACCUAGGCGACGAUCCCUACCGGGUCUGAGAGGAUGAUCAGCCACAGUGGGACUGAGACACGGCCCAGACUCCUACGGAGGCAGGAGUGGGGAAUAUUGCACAAUGGGCGCAAGCCUGAUGCAGCCAUGCCGCGUGGAUGAAGAAGGCCCUAGGGUUGUAAAGUGCUUUCAGUCGGGAGGCGUUACCGACAGAAGGAGCAACGGCUAACUCCGUGCCAGCCGCCGCGGUAAUAC